rnacentral:rRNA from 1 species
GAUGAACGCUGGCGGCGUGCCUAACACAUGCAAGUCGAGCGAUUCUCUUCGGAGAAGAGCGGCGGACGGGUGAGUAACGCGUGGGUAGCCUGCCCUGUACACACGGAUAACAUACCGAAAGGUAUGCUAAUACGAGAUAAUAUACUUUUAUCACAUGGUAGAAGUAUCAAAGCUUUUGCGGUACAGGAUGGACCCGCGUCUGAUUAGCUAGUUGGUAAGGUAACGGCUUACCAAGGCGACGAUCAGUAGCCGACCUGAGAGGGUGAUCGGCCACAUUGGAACUGAGACACGGUCCAAACUCCUACGGGAGGCAGCAGUGGGGAAUAUUGCACAAUGGGCGAAAGCCUGAUGCAGCAACGCCGCGUGAGUGAAGAAGGCCUUCGGGUCGUAAAGCUCUGUCCUCGAGGAAGAUAAUGACGGUACUUGAGGAGGAAGCCCCGGCUAACUACGUGCCAGCAGCCGCCGUAA